rnacentral:misc_RNA from 1 species
CCAGCAAUUUGUUGAAACAAAACAUCUCCAGAAGGGAAAUAAACAAACGGCUCUCCAGUUUCUGCAUGAUUCUCAAUCUGUUGUGACAUAGCACCAUUAAGACGGUAAUAAGAUUGCUGGUCAAAGGAUGAACAAUGCGCAAGUAAUGACCCUGCAGCAACUCCAGGCUCAAAGAAUUCCCUGAGAACCAAGCCUGGAUCAUUGACACAAUCAGAAUUCCUCACAGAAGAUGCUUCCAACAGAGUGAUUUCAAUCCCUUGACUGGCAUC